UACGUAGGUGGCAAGCGUUGUCCGGAAUUAUUGGGCGUAAAGCGCGCGCAGGCGGUCCUUUAAGUCUGAUGUGAAAGCCCACGGCUCAACCGUGGAGGGUCAUGGAAACUGGGGGACUUGAGUACAGAAGAGAAGAGUGGAAUUCCACGUGUAGCGGUGAAAAUGCGCAGAUAUCAGGAAGAACACCCGUGGCGAAAGCGGCUCUCUGGAACGGUACUGACG
rnacentral:rRNA from 1 species